GCCGUGAUCGUAUAGUGGUUAGUACAUUGCGUAGUGGCCGUAAUAACCCAGGUUCGAUCCUGGCCACGGCA
rnacentral:tRNA from 1 species